GCAUCAUCUGCAGCAAUACCGGGCUAGAGUGAGGAGCAGGACCCCUCUUGAACUCCCCUCCUGUGCACACACAGCUCCCCAUCCCCUCCCCCCAAUGCACCAAGGACUUACUCUUGUAGGAGAUGCGGGUGAUGGUGUCCCGGUUAAGGAGGCGGCUGAGGAAGGGGUUCGAGCUGCCAGCCACCUGUGUGGGGGUACAAGAUAUUUAUUGAGCUGCUACUAUGUGCCAUGGAUGCCAGGAAGAGAGCAAGGAAAAAGUAGGCAAAAACCCUGGGCUCAUGGAACUCGUGUCCUCACGGAGCCGAGGCAGACAAUAAAUAACAAAUUACACACGGAAAACCUAGGGAGCCAUGUUUGGAUAAAGAAGAACAGGUGAUUCAUAUUAGAGUGUAAGGAGCCUCCUUUCUACCCACUGUCUACGGCUCCUUAACCCAGGGGGCCCUUCCACCUCCGCACCCCACCCCCACUCGUGCCCACCCCCAGGGGAUUUGGUGAACCCUCCCACCAGGCCCCUUACCUUCUCUCCCCCAGUGCUGAGUCUCAGUGGGGGCAGAAAGGGGUCAUAAAGGACCCUCUUCAGCUCCACAUCCACAGGGCUCUGCCGCUUCCCCACAGCACACAGACUCCAGGCUGCAUUCACUAAGCCCCAGAAGGGAGGCCCUGGAGGCAGGGGUGGGGCAGGGAGGAAAGGGAGUCAAAGAUAGGACUGGAUCCCAAAGCUGGGAUCUGCUGAGAAGGCUGUGUUUUGGACUCCUGGAUCCCAGGACAGGAAGGGUAGGGGAUGGGGACUCCUGAGUCUGAGGGAGGAAGGGGCUGGGAAUCCAGAAUCUUGGGUCCUAGAAGAAUCUUGGAGGAGUUUCCAAAGAUCAUCUAGCCGCCUCCUUAACCAAAUCUACCUUCAAUUAAGUCAUUGGGGGAAGGAACUACAACUCCAAGCAGGCCUGAGUGCUGCCAGCCUACCAUCCACGGCAUGUCUGCCCCAGAGCCCAUGGGAGUUGUAGUUCUUUCACUCUCCCUUGUCCCACAGCUGGAUAAUGAAUGUACCGGGGGAGAGGAGUUGCAGGGGCUGGUCAAGGCAGGGGAUGCGACCAAUGAGCCUCUGGUUCCCAGCACAAGCCAGACCUACUACCUGCCUCUUUCCCUGCAAACCCCCCCCACUCUCUUUUGCACCCCCACACUCCUUCCUUCCACUCACUCCCACUCACUACUUGAAAUGCGCAUAUAUAAUGUCCCGUGGUGAGCUGCUGGGGUUCAGAGGCUGGGGCCGACUCUAGAGGGAGGAAGGGAGGGAGAGGGAAGGAAGGGGCUGGGACUCCGGGGUCCUGCGAGGAGGACAGGGCUCCUGGGUCUGAGGAAGGAGGCACCCUGCAGCCCCGAGUCCUGGGUCCCCGCCCUGGCUCCACCUGGCACGAAGUUUCCCUGGAGAUUAUCCUUGUAGCUCCACCAGUCCUCGGGGUCAGGUGCAGGUCCAAUGUGAGCUGGGGAAAGAGCAGCCUGAACCCCUCCCCUUGGUACCCCACCCCCACCUCUCCCUCAGGGGCUCCCGCCCCAACCCCCGGCCUUACCUGCCGCCCCCAGUGCGGCCCAGAGUACCAGCGCCCUAGGAACGCUCAGACGAGCAGCAACCCCCAUCCCUGGGAGGCCUCUGAGCAACCCCCUCCCAGCGUCCUGGCCCCUCUCUCAGCUCCUCCUUCCCUGCUCUGUGGGACCCUGUCCCUCCAGGACUUCCAGCCUGCCUCUCCUCCCUACAGGGAGUCCAGUUCCCCAAACACCGAGGCAGCCGGGAACUGAGACCCCCCAAAUACACUCCUCCCUGCUCUCCCAGCUCUCUGUGCCUCUCCUUCCUUUUCUCUUUUCCCCAACCCUCCAGCCUCCCUCUACCUCCCGAUCUUCCUACCCCUUUCUCUGCCUCCUGCUUCUCCCCGGGGUUACCUCCUGGUUUCUAAUCCACACCCCCUCUUUGCUCUCUUUUCUUCAGCUCCCCGGAGCCACCUAACCCCAUGUCUCCAUCCUGCUUCUCUCUCCUCCUCCCGGUCUCCCUCCUCUCCUGCUUCUUUCUCGCCCAGUCUCCCCACCUCCUCCUCUUCUGCCUCUCCUGUUUCGCCGUCUCUCUCUUCCCUCAUCCUCGCUCCCUCCUCCCCCUCCCUCUCUGAUCUCUCUCUGGGUGUUAUUUAAUUUUUUUGCCGUUGUUGUUGGCGGGGGGGGGGGGGGGGGGAGUGAUCUCACAGCAGCAAACAGUCCUCGGACUGGUGUGGGGAGAGACCAAGGGGCAGGAUGGAGGGGUCAUUGGGGGCUAAUAUCCAGCUUCCAGCUGUGCCGGGGGAGGGGGACGGAGGGGUGGGGGGGUGGCCUGGACACCUGGGGCCCGGAGCUGGCAGUUCCCAGCCUCCGCAGAAGGGAGAAGGGGGGGGGCGCUUAAGGUGGAGCUGGGGGAGUCCUCCGAGGUCUCCGUGCUCCAGGCCGCUGGUGCCGGAGGAUCCGGGGUACCCCGGCUGGUGCGGACCCGGGUUGGAGCCUUAGUGGCGCCUGCAGCCCCCGCCCAGUGCUCCAGUCGGCCUCGGCUGGGGGCCGCCUUAACCGAGCUGAGGGAUCCCCUGGGAGACCGGGGUGCGGUGCGGGCAGCUGACCAGGAGGGGGAGGCAGAGACUUGGAGAGGGACCGAGCGCCGGGAGGAGGAGCCGGGAAGGCCGAGGGGAGGCAGCCGAGGUGAGGUCGAAGGACUGCAGAGGCUUAGGAGGGGAAGGGGAGCCCGAGGUAGAUGCGGGGAGACAUGGCGGAGGGAGACCUGCGUGCUGGAAAUAGGGGAACGGGGAGGCGGGGGAGUGGGGGGGAGGAGGAGAGAGACAGAGACACACAGUCAGAGACAGAGUGUGAGAGAGAGAACGGGAGAUACUGGUGGAGGCAGAGAGAGACGUACAGAGACACACACUUGGCCAUAGGAACAGAAACGCCCAUCCCACCGGUCAGAGAAGGGAGAAGAAGCUGCCAGGCCAAGGGGGUGGGGGUGGGGAGAAACAGAAACUGAGAAGAGAUUCAAAGACAGAGAGACAACAGCCAAACUCAAAGAGAGAGACACAGAAACAUAGAGAAAGAGACACACACAUACACAAACACACACACACCCCCCUCUGAGUAGAGAGCCUGAUGCAGAGAAAGAGCUCACCAGAGAGGAAGAGAUGGCAGAGACCCAGAGAGAGGGAGAGAGACCCAGAAACAGACCAAGGGACAUCAAAGGACAGCGUGGAGUCAGAAAGACAGGCAUUCAGAUAAAGAAUUUGGAACAGACAGUCAAGGCACAGACAGCCAAAGAGGGUCAGAAAUGGAGAGAAAAGAAAACGCAGGAAAGAAAGGUAUGUAUUGCUUAUCCAUGGCCGCAUAAGGAAUCACCCCCAAACUUGGUGGCUUCAACCAACAAGCAUUUACUGUCCCACCGAGUCUGAGGGUUUGGAGUUUGGGAAUGGCUUAACCGGGGCGGGGCGGGGGUCCACAAGGUCCAGUUAGGACCUUGACCAGGGUGCAGCCCCCUGGAGGUUCGACUGGGGCUGAACGGCACUUCCAAGUUCCUCAUCACUGUGCCUCUCUUGAGGGCUAUAGGGGUGCUGGUUUCCAGAUCGACUGAUGAGAGAGAGAGAGAGAGAGAGAGAGGAGAGAGCACAAGCAGGGGGAGCAGCAGAGGGAGAAGGAGAAACAGGCUCCCUGCUGAGCAGGGAGCCCUGAUGCUGUGAUGCUGGGAUGCUGCGGGUGAUGUGGUGAUCGCAGGACCCCAGGAUCAUGACCUGAACAGAAGGCAGACACUUAACAACUGAGCCACCCAGGAGCUGUGUUGGCCCAUUUUACAGAUGGGGAAGCCAAGCAUCAGAGGGUGCAGGUGACUUGCCCAGAGUUAUACAAAUAGGAAGUGGUGGAGCAGGGGAGGAAAAUAGAGCAAAGGGGGACGAAGAAAACACGAUGGAGGCAUUGUGCCGAGAAGCGAGGAAUCUGUCAGGAAGCUUGGCAGGGAGUUGGGGGUUGGAGAACCCAGGUCUGUUGGAGAAAUAAAUCAGGAAGAAAUGGCAGCCAUCCUGACCAGUUUCCUUGAUGCUGGGCCGUGCCAUGCUCUCUGUUGGCUUUGUUUUAACCCUCAAAGCAGCCCCAGGGAGUGGAGGGGUUAGGAUUAGCCCCAUUAUACAGAUAGAACACUGAGGCUGGUCUGAGAGGGAAGGGGCUCUCCCAAGAUGGCAUGGGUUGAAUGGUACCCCCAAACCCACACACCAAAAAGUGCACCCAGAGUGGAACCUAAUUUGCCAAAAAGGUCUUUGCUAAUGUAACUAAGUCAGUGACCGUGCGACCGGAUCAUCCUGCAUUAUCUGGCUAGACCCAAAAUCCAAGGGCAACUGUCCUUAUGAGAGAAAGGCGGAGGGAGAUUCGAUACUACAAUGUGCAGACAGAGGCAGAGGCUGGCGUGAUUCUGCUGCAAGCCCGGGAUCACAUGGAAUCCCCAGAAGCUGUGCGAUGCAGGGACAGAUCCUCUCCUGGAGGCUUUGGAGGGACUGUGGCCCUGCUGACACCUUGAUUUGGGACCUGCUGCUUUCAGGGCUGUGAGAGAAUAAAUUGCUGUUGUUUUAAGCCAUGCA